GGAGCCAUGGCUUAGCAGUAGAGCACAUGGCUAGCAAGCAUGAGGCCCUGAGUUCAAACCUCAGUAUCCCUC
rnacentral:tRNA from 1 species